GACGAACGCUGGCGGCGUGCCUAAUACAUGCAAGUCGAACGAACCGCGACUAGGUGCUUGCACUUGGUCAAGGUGAGUGGCGAACGGGUGAGUAACACGUGGGUAACCUACCUCAUAGUGGGGGAUAACAGUCGGAAACGACUGCUAAUACCGCAUAGGACAUAGGAUCACAUGAUCCAGUGAGGAAAGGUGGCGCAAGCUAUCGCUAAGAGAUGGACCCGCGGUGCAUUAGCUAGUUGGUAGGGUAAAGGCCUACCAAGGCGAUGAUGCAUAGCCGACCUGAGAGGGUGAUCGGCCACAUUGGGACUGAGACACGGCCCAAACUCCUACGGGAGGCAGCAGUAGGGAAUCUUCCGCAAUGGACGCAAGUCUGACGGAGCAACGCCGCGUGAGUGAAGAAGGUCUUCGGAUCGUAAAGCUCUGUUGUUAGAGAAGAACAGCGCAUAGAGUAACUGUUAUGCGUGUGACGGUAUCCAACCAGAAAGCCACGGCUAACUACGUG
rnacentral:rRNA from 1 species